rnacentral:rRNA from 1 species
CUGGCACUAUAAGUGUCCUAAAGGGUUGUCGUAGACUACGACGUUGAUAGGCAGGGUGUGUAAGUGCUGCGAGGCAUUGAGCUAACCUGUACUAAUUGCCCGUGAGGCUUAACCAUACAACACCCAAGGGGUUU